GACGAACUGUCCUAACGUUGUUCGGAAUCACUGGGCUUAAAGGGCGCGUAGGCGGUCUGGUAAGUCGGGUGUGAAAUCCCUCAGCUCAACUGAGGAAUUGCGCCCGAAACUACUUUGCUAGAGGAAGAUAGGGGUACGCGGAACUUAGGGUGGAGCGGUGAAAUGCGUAGAUAUCAAGAGGAACACCUGCGGCGAAGGCGGGUUGCUGGGCCGACACUGACGCUGAGGCGCGAAAGCCAGGGGAGCGAACGGG
rnacentral:rRNA from 1 species